rnacentral:rRNA from 1 species
UGGACCCACCUGAUCCCAUGCCGAACUCAGUAGUGAAACGUAAUAGCGCCGAUGGUAGUGUGGGGUCUCCCCAUGUGAGAGUAGGACAUCGCCAGGC